AACUUGCACAAAUUCAAAUAUUAAAAGUAACCGAAUAACUUAUUUGAUGUUAAUACGGUCCUGACUUUUUAUGUAUUUUGCGAUCGUUUGAUUGUAAAAGGACAACGUGACCUCAGAAACGAGGCCUUUCCAGCGGACGACGCUCAUGAAUUUUUUUUUAGCAGCCGUCAUUAAGAUUUCAAAAGUUUCGCGGUCCACAGACGGAUAGCUAAUCGUGAACGCGUUCAUUAUUUCGGUGUCAUAUCUCUCGACAUUCCCAACCGUUUAACUUUUUCCAAUUGAGCACGUGGUACGCGCGUUUUUGCGACGAUUUGUAAUGUUUGUCACAAAUCGAAAAAAUAAAGUAAAUUUUAUGAAAAAAUUAUCAAUCGAAUGUUGGAAAAUAUUAUACACUAUCACGGUCACUAUAACCAAAAACGCAGUACGGGUUUUAAUCGACAGAUUUACGUUAUCGAAAUAUUCGCAAACAAUAAAAAAAAAUACAAAUGAAAUAUGAAAACACGCAUCACCGCCAUGGCCGAUGAAGAUCUCGCGUUCGGUGGAAAAAAACUCCCCGACCUUUGGCUGAGCACAGG